rnacentral:lncRNA from 1 species
UCCUUUCAAGACAUCAGAAGAUUUGCUGACUGCCAUCUCGAAUUGGAACAGAAAUUAAAGAUUUUGAAUUUUAUGAAAAGAUUCGGUAAAGAAUCCCUGUGUCUGUCAUGCAGAAAUUACUUUAAGAUUACAAAAAAGUUUCCAAUAAAGAUGGGAAGUUCUCUACAUUCCAUAUUUUCUGGUCUUUUAAAAAUACAGAAUGCUUUGAAACAUAAAACUUAAUAACUACAGAAGAUUUUUAUUU